AUCAACUUUAAUUAAUUUUCUUCUCUGUUCUCUCUCCGUCCCUCCCUCCCUUGACCCUUUCCUUCUCGAUCUGGAGCAAGAAGCAGAAACAACUCGAGUUUCAUCCUCGGUCUCAAUCCAUCGUCUCUUGCUUCCUGAAGAUGUUACGGCGAGGCCGAUCCCCAUAUCAAGUCACUGUUCUCUUGCAUCAAGCAGAAGAAGAAGAGGCUGACUAGCUCUCUGUCAAAAUUUCACAGGUUAAAUCUGAAAUAUCUCUUGGGUUUUAUUCCUAUUGAGUAUCUUCUGUGAUUGGGUCUAUUUGAUUGAAGAUUUCUCACAUUUUCUUCACAUUGAAAAUCCCUAUGUGAUUGGGUCUAUUUGAUAUCUCAUUUGGUAUUUUCGAACUGUGAUUCUAUUAAGGAUUUCGAUGGGUUCCAGGUUCAGACAAUAGGUUGUAGAGGUUUUGAUUGAGUAUAAUUGGUUUUGGGUAUACCAUAUUUUAAGGUAAUUUUGUCCAGUGACUCCAUUAGGAUGAUUAGGACUGGGAAGGAUCAAGUUUAGUUACUGCACACCAUGUGUUUGAAGUUAUGCCUCAAAGACAGCACCCAAGCUGAACCAGUGGGCUAUUCCAUGAUUUUCGAAAACACUAUACUUCUUAUUUUACUCUCAGUUUUUGAUAGCUUAAAAUAGACUCUUCAAUGAUCAUUUUGAGCUUGGUUUCAUGAAAAACGGAGUUACAAUGAAAUACUUAUGCCAUUUUGAAAUUACUGCACUGUUUCAGGAUUUCUGCAGAAAUCAGUAUUUUCUGCUACUUUGGAUUCUUGUUUGACCACUCAUUUGAACUGCGAAUGACCUGAAAUUUUGCAAAAUAGUAGCUUUACAUGUCUACUUCAAAUCUGGAGAGUUUUGAAUGAAAUAACUGAAGAGUUCUUCAUUGGUGAAUUUUUCUUUCUUGCUAACAGUCUUCUGAAAUUUUCUCAAAUUUGCAGCAACCUUGUUACAAAACAAUCUGUUUGACAGGCCUUCACACCUUUGUCAGUCCUUGAAUUUUAGUAUAUUAAAAUAGACUGAAUAUUAACAUUUUUAUCUGGAUUUCUUGUUAACACUUAAGCAGGUUUGUAGAGAAAACAACAACCAUGGGUCUAGAAGAAUGUUAUUCACAUCGAUAUGUAAGUCUAAUAUCACGAAGAUAUGGCUUAUUCUUUUUUCCCUUGUGGUUCAUUUAUGCUCUUUAUUCUAGUUUUGUUGCUUGCUGCAGUUACUUUAAAGUCAGUGCAAGAGAACGAUAACUAUGCUGCAAUGAGAGAAAAGCCCAAAGAUUUUGCAAGUGAAAGCAUAGCAAGAGCUUAAGUUGGUUUGGGUCAAACUGAGAUUUAAGUUGAAAUUUGCUUUGAAUGUGGUAGGCACAUAUGUGCGCCAUGAUUGAACUAUUGUUGCCAUUGCUGAAGAAAGCUGCCCCUGAUACACCAGAGUAACAAGCCUCCACAAAGAAGGUUGAACAUGGCACAUAUGUGCGCCAUGAUUGAACUAUUGUUGCCAUUGCUAAAGAAAGCUGCCCCUGAUACACCAGAGUAACAAGCCUCCACAAAGAAGGUUGAACAUGUAGAUGCAAAAGUAUGGAACAACUGCAAGUUGGAGACCAGUGGAGUGGAGCGGGUCAGCCUAGUUUAUCAACUUUUGGUCUUCUUUUUGGGUACUCUUAUGAUGUAGUGGAACUAAAUGAUGAAACAAAUGUGAUGAUUUCUUAAUGAAACUAGUAGUAUUAUGUCUCCAUUGUGAUAUGUGUAAAUAAAAAGAUAAUUGAUUUCUGAA